AUCAGAGAGAGGUGCUGUGAACACACAGCCAUUUUCUUAGCAGCUUUUUGACUGUAUGUUACCAUAGUCCCACAAGGCAUUGGUCCUUUCCCAUUGGGAAGUCAUGAAUAAGAGACUAUGAAGCUCACACGUCAGAUCUUCCUCAAUUAAUCCACCAUUAGCAUGUUCGGGGUCCACAACUGGAUGGUUAACAGCGGCUUUUGUAACUGUGUGCCGACCAUACCCAAUUAUGCUCUGCUAAAAAUGAACUCUUUGCAGACCAAGCCUCUCGGGCUGUCAGUGUUUUCCGUUUUCCUAUUUUAACGUUUGUGUAUAGUGGCAGGCGACAGAUGGUGUGGAUCAGAUCGAUUUGAUUGCAUUAGAUGAUUUUCCCCCCUUCCCCACGCCUUUCUGGAAGCUCGCAUCAGCUGAAGGCUCUCGCCUGGGACUCCUCCGAAGCAUGAGCAAGCCGCCACCACGCGAAGGCACUGGGGCACAGCCAGCGAGAGGCGAUGAGGUCCCUUCCCAGGGCUUGUUAACACUGUAACCGGGCGCUCAGAGAGCAGCGGCUCCCACUGCCCAAGCCUGCCUCGCCGCCCAUCGGAUGACUCCUGGCUUCUGCACACAGUUGGAGUUCAGCGGGCAACCUGGAUUUAGAGGGGUUCGCUUGCUGCCAUGACACUCAAUCAAAGCACCUAGAGUGGGCUGGCCAUGACCAGAGUCCGCAUGAAGCAGAGCAAAUACCAAGGAAAGCGCUGGGUGAUCACCAGAAUUGGAAAUAGAACAGCCAUUUGGAAGAUCUGGGCAGGAAGCAACAGAGCACAGCUUUGGAGCCUUCUUUAGGGAAAUCGAGUUAUGGAUUUAUGGUCCCGGUCAAGCUCAGCCCAGCCCUAGCCAGGGGCGGGCUCCGCAGCAAGAGUUCUUUCUGGUGGUGGCGGCGGCAGCGGCAGCAGUGACAGCGGUAGCAGAGGCAGAGGCAGCGGCAGCUUGGCCCUCUGACUCUCUUCGGUGACGGGUAUUCUUGGGUGGAUAAUACGGAUUACGUUGUUAUUGCUUAAGAAUACGCGUAGUCGAGGAGAGUACCAGCGGCAGGCGGGCAGCAGCCGCCCCUCCCAGCCCACCAGCUGGCCACUAAAAGCUCCCGGUUGCCAAGAUUUGAAAGACGCUUCAAGAAAACAGCUGCAUUAGAAGACCAAGGGAGUUCCGGGAACAAGAUAAGAAGGGACUCAGUAUUUACCUAAACUUGGCAUUGAACUUCUUAUCCUCCUGCCUCUGGAAGCCUGGGAUUACAGACAUGAACCACCAUACUUGAUUUAUGCAAUAAAUCAAUUCAUGCAAUACCUGGGAUGGAAUACCGGGUUUCCGGAAUGGUCAGAAUAACAAUCACACUAGGAAUGCAACUUACUAUAUUUAAAUAAAAACUGAAGACCAGAAAGAUGGCUUUAUGGGAAGGAGUGCUUGCUUGAAUAUUAAACAAGAGAUCCUGAAUUUACAUCCCAGGACUGACUUCAGUGGUCCCAGUAAUACUGGGUUUCCUCCAAAAGGAAAACAAAAACAACUUUUGAGCAAUCCAGCAGGCCCGGAAGUAUGUAGGAUGUUUUCCUGCAUGUGUGUCUCAGUACAUUGUGCAUGCCUCGUGUCGAAAGAAAACAGAAGAGGGCUUUGGAUUCCCUGUGACUGGAGUUACAGACAGCUAUAAAUUGCCAUGUGGGUGAAAAUUAAAAUAUGUGUCCUUUGGAAAAGCAGCAGAUGCUCUUAAUCACUGAGCAAUCUCUGUGUCCACUAAGUUCUAUUUUAAAAGAUAAGUACUUAUUUAUUUGGAUUGUCUUAAGUAUGCCUUUUACUGAAGUUAUAAUUUUGAGCAUACAGAUCUGUUUAGGUUUAUUUUAAGUCUAAAUUCUGCAUUUAAAAAUUUCUCACUUUUAUUAAAAACAUGGGAGAGUUGGUUCAGAUUUUUAAUAAUAGUUACAGUCAAACUUAGGAGUUUAUCAAUGUAGUCAAGUUCUUAGUUUCAAGGUAAGUAUUGAAUUUUUAUCAGUUGAAACCAUGAGUUUACUCAUUACGAUUGCAGCUCAUUUUAAUAAUUUUGAAAAAAAUUCACUUACUUAUCUAACUUCAGAUUUAAUGUAUGUUAAGCAGUUACCAUUUCACAUGUAAAAAAAUGCUGAUUGAGACCGAGGAAUCAUAUGCUAGGACUUAAGGAGUAGCUAUGCAGGGUGUUCACUACACAACCCUAAGGAAGAUUCAAAAAAUGAACUUUGUAGCUUAAAGAUUAAAAUAUUUGUUACAAUUUUUUUCAGCAUCAUGGAGUGUUCCAGAAAAUAUUCUAUAGUGAAAUUUUUUCUGUUCAUGAACAGAAAGUGUCUAGAAAUAUAUGCAUUCUGUGGUUUGAAUUGUGCUCUUCCAAAAUUCAUGUAUUAAAGCAUGAAGCUCCAAUGUGAUGAUAAUUGGAGAUGGAGUUCUUAUGGUGUCAUUAGAUCUAGCUGUGGGUAUGAGGGUAGGAACAUAAUGAUGAGAUUCAUCAUCUUAAAACAGACACUGCCGGACAUGCACACUCUUCAGUCAUGAUCUCACAGAGAAGUGCCCAUAUGUGGUCACGAAAGCAGCCUAUCAGGAAGAGUAAAGGUCUCAGAUUGACACACCCACCUUGCUUGAACAUUAAUCUUUGGCCCCCAGCCCAUAGAACUGAAUGGAAAUAAAUCCAUGCUGUUCACUGCACAGGUCUUUGGCUUUUCUUUCCCUUUCUUUUAUUUCACCCUUUAAAAAAAAAGUUUGGAUUGAUAGCAUGAAUUAGAUAUUGAUAAGAACUGGAUGAUGCUAUGACAUCCACCUCAAAGUAAAGGAAAAAGUUUGCAGUUUGGUGGUGAGUAGCAGGCUGGAAGAAUUUUGACAUGUACACUGGAAAUGUUACAUGUGGUUUUCGAGCGGUCUCAGGGGGAUGGACACAUUUUUAGGAGGACAAUUAACCUUGUUCCUGAAUACUAAAGAGUUUGGUGUUUUGGGGGUGUUUUGUGAUUGGGAGAUCUUGGGAGGAAGCAACCAGAUAUUUCCAGAGGAAAUCUGCAACCAACAUGUUAAAAGAGCAGUGUGAUUCUUUCUAGCUGAUUAUUGUAAAAUGUGAGAGGAUAAAGACAGAAUGAAGGUGGGGAAAGAAAAGGGAACCAGAAUAUGAAGAUUUGGUAAAUUCUCAAGUUACUCACGUUACUAAAGAGAAGAGACUCAAAGAUGAGAAAGGAGAGGAAGAAAAAAGACAGGAAAACGGAGAAGUCAGGAAAGAAAGAAGAAAGAGGGGAAGGAGAAAGACGAAAGAAGAGAAAGGUAAACGAAUAGAUUAUUUAUGAAAGUAAUGCGUGGCUGAAAUAUUGGAUACGAAAUUUUUGAUCUUUGUAAACAGACAUUUUGACUGUGUAAACUCAGAAUAAAAUGAACGAAAUGGACGAAGGCACCUUGGAUUGCAGGGGCAAAGGUGCUGGUUCUGAAUAUCCAAGACUUUUUAGGGUCCAGGAAGUGCUCUGAACAGUCAUUCUGAGAUCCUCAGAGCCACCCUCAAUGUCACGGUCUGAAUUUUCUCCACUGGUUGUUGUUGGAAAAAGACCUCCCCCACAGCGUGCAGCUGUGACACAGAUGGUAAGACUACAGAGCUGACAGGAGAGUACUGAGUCUGCAUGGGUAUGGGACUUGCAGAGAAUGCUUUGAAAGAGCCAUGUUCCCAUGAGAUGCUUUUUGGAGACAGGUCUUUUGGGACAUUUUUAGGUUUAGAUGAGAUCAGGAAGGAGCUGCUCUCAAGUUUACAAGGAGAAAUACAAGUGAGUUCUAGACCCCACUUCUUCUCCCCCUCUGGCUUCCUGGUAAACGACCAUUUACAAUCUAGGAAGGCAGGCCUCUCUGGAACCAUGCUAACACCCUCUGGCUUUGAAUAUUUAAUCUCUAGCAUUUGGGAAUAGUUAAUUCUGUUUCUUGAGUCACCUAGACUACGAUAUUUUGUUUUGUGAAACACAGCUGCCUUUGUACAUUCACAGAUAGGCCGCAGGAUUUUGUAGUUGGCAAACCUUAUGAGUCUAAUUAUUCAAGUGUUUGCUCACAGGAACACUGGGGAUAUUUUUAUAGACUCAAUGAAGAAAAUUUAAAGACCACAUGAUUAUUAAAAGCAUCUAUAGCUUAUUGAAUCACUUUAUGUAUAUUAUUAUAUAUUAUAAGUAGAUACUUCAUUGUUACUAAUAACUAUGGACCUAAAUAAACCCAUUGGAUGGAAAUAAAAAUCUCAGUCAAGUAUAAUUUGAAUUCUUUAAUAAUAAAUUAAGGCUUUGGAGAGUUUUUUUCCCAUUUUCAGACAGCAUUAAGAAUCAAUGCACGCCUUAGUUAAACUUAAUUUUAUCCUUAAUUCUAGUGUUUGGUUUCUGAAGUCACCAAUUACAGUUUCAUACUAAAUGGCUAGAGGGUUCAAUUUCCCUUCAGGUUGAUAUUUGACAAUAAAAGUUAUUUUGUGAUACACUCUGCCCACCCCAUCUGAUAAUACAUUAAGAGAAAGAUGAAUGUAGAAAUAACUGAGCUAAAAAGGGCUAAGUUACAUUUGAUCUCACAGAGCAGGAGGCCAGUUGACUUGUAUGGUCACAGAGGCUCUAAACCAAGUUAUGAUCAACUUCAACCUAUGAAGAAAAUUUGCAGUGGGCUUUUCCAAGAAAGCAAUAUUCAAAUUAAAAAGAGAAACUUGUAAGAACGGUGAACUAAUUUCCUGAGCUACUCGUGAUUUUGAUUUUGAUAUCCUUCAACUACCAACACCUCAUUUGUGCUUCAAAAAUACACCACACUGCCUUCUGUCUUAGCAUUUGCUACUUCAUUUUGAUAGGCAUUUUUAGUUUUAGUUUUCCUGUAGCCAAUUAAGUUGUUUGGGUGAGAAAUACUGUCCCCAAACACCUGCUGAUUAUCCCAAUACCCCUAGUCUAGAUCAGAUUGGUUGAGCUUUGGUGUUUCCUGCUUUGUCAUACCAUCCAUAAUCCAUCAUUUGUUUUCAUUAAUGCAUUCAAAAUACAUGUCUAGGAAUCCUCCUUGCAUUGUUUACAUUUCCCGUAAUGUGUUUUCCUUAUGGUUAGACUGGGAGAUCGAUGUGGGCAGAGAUUCAUCAAAGUCCUGUUUGCACAUAAAUGGCUACUUUAGCACCCUUGAAUAUGUGUGAAUGAAAAUCACUAGUUCAUCCUAUCUGCUACUACAUCAUGUCUGAUUGAGUUGGUCCAGGAGGCAGGACAAGGAAAUAAAAUAGAAAGUUACAAAAUGUGAGAAAAUUCAUUGUUGGGGUAAUUUAGUUCUGGGAGAAAAUUCCAGAGAGACCCCUGAACUUUGUGUGGUGAAGACAUUCUCCAGAAUACUAGUACAGUUGUGCUAUACUAGAAUAAUAGACUGGGAGGGAAUUAUUGAAUUAAAGUGUUUAGGUAGCAUCCAGACCUCAAGUAUAUUUGGGCAAGCAAAUAUGGAUCAGGAAAGCUGGGAGCCAAGCAAUAGAGAGAGGCCAUUCACAGAGUAAAGUAACUACUGACACUAAAGCACUUCAUACCUGCUAGGCCCACAGACAUCAGUAUGUUAGCAUAACUCAUAACACAUCACUUGUAUGAAUGGACUGUCAUUGUUCCUAUUUUAUAAAUUAGAAACCAAGGCACAGAUCUUCCCAUAGUUUGCUCCAGAUCAUGUGAUUCCUGAAGGCAGUAAGAUCCAGGUUCAGAGAGUACAGUUAUAAAUUCAUAUUUAGUGUCCACCUAGUACAGAGACUGGACUAUCAGUCUCUGCCAUGGGUGUUCUGUGUGACUUUGGUUAUGCAAGUCAGCCCUUCAGUGCCAUUGAAUUCCUCAUUUGUGUAAUGAGAACAUCAUUGACGACAUCAUUGACCCUGAUCUCAAAAUUGUGUUUGAUGUUGAGUAACAGCCAAAAUCAUUAUUUUCGUUAAACAAAGGAGGGACAGAUUUCUUGGGUACGUGUGGAGAAAUGGAACGGCUGUGGGGAUGUUCCUGAGUUUAAAGAAACUUGUCACUUGUGCAUAGGUGUAAGGAUCUGAGUUCAUAGCCUUAGAACUCACACAAAUGCUGGGAGCAAGCAGGAACUGUAAAUUCCCAGAGCUGGCUGGCCAACAAUACUAGCCAUAUCAGCAAGUUUGGGUUUGGGCUGAGUGGCAUUGCCUUGUUGUAUAUGAUGAAAACCAGAGAUUAAGAAUGAUUAUGGACUCCGGUUUACACAUGUGGCCCAUCUACAUGAUGUACACCUGCACACACACACACAUGAAUGUGCAACCAUACAUACAAACAUGUAUACACAUACAUGCAUGAAAUGGGAAAAAGAACAAUAGACAGAAAAUAGGAGAGUUCACAAUCUUUUUAAGGAGCUGAAAAGAUUGACAGCCUAGUGUGAACACUCCCAAUGAGAAAAGUGAGGCUCCUAGACCUGGGGUUUGGGCCAAAUAUAGAUAACCCUGUCCAAGGCAGAGGGAGCAGCAUUCUACCAUGUUCCCAGAAGCCAUUAAAUCUAAGACAAAAUGUGAAGGCUGGUAAGUCAUCCAAGUUUGGGGUUCAUUAUAACCAAGUGAAAGAUUCUGCUUAGGUGUUGGGAAGUAAACCUUGGAAGUGGCUUCCUAAGGAAAUGAUAGAAGUUUUCUAUCCCAGGAUGUCAGGGGUGGGAUUUGAAUGUGUGGACAGAUUCCACAAGCUUUUAAACGAUUGCUUCUCCCCAUCUCAUCAUCAUGACAUCUACUGGCUCCAAGUAGUCUAUCUAUGCAUAGUUUUACAGGGAAACCCUGUCUGUGCCAUCUUCUCCACCCUUGGGAAGCCUGGGCUGGAGCACAGCUGAAGGGAUUUUUCUCAAAUGUUUUUCUAAAUGUUGAACACACUCAGUUCUAUACGGGAUCCAGGUUUUCCGGUUUGAUUUUGUUGCCAUUAUUGUUGUUUUCAAGGCAGUCUCUCACCUAUCCCAGGCUGCCCUUGAACUCAGUAUGAAGCUGAGGUUGAGCUCUCAACCCUUCUGGUCUCCAUCACUUAGUGCUGGGAUUACAGAUGUUUACCACACAAGCCUCGCGCUGAGCAGAAUGUAGAGCUAAGCCAUAGCCAGAAGCGUGCAGUACACAGGGUAAGCUACAGCCCCAGCUUCAGCUCUCUGUACUCCACUAGAAAGAACGGAGGCUUUGCACAUUCACAUGCAUGUCUCUCAGAGACAAGUGUGAAGAAUAUAUUUCUGACACUUUGAAUAAAGGAGACAGAAUGGGGAAGAAAGAAUUUACCAAAAUACAACUCUUUUAAAAAAAAGUUGAAACGGAUUAAGUUUUAUAACUAGCGAGUAGGUGAAUCUGCAGGGAUGGCUUUCAAAAGUCCAUUGCUUUCUACAACACGGAUUUAAACAAGACAAAUUGGUUGUUUGGUUAGAAUUAAACUAUACAAAAUUCUGUAAGUAGGUGUCGUGUGCGCCUAUAAGAACAAUGACAACUUGGAAGAAAUCUUAAGCUUGGCAGAGUCUCUUAGGUAAGGGCUGUGGGGAGCAUUUAAAGCUUAGAGGAUGCGAACUCUGCAGGGGGCUUGAAGGUCUUACCUGGGCUCUAAAGAUGAUCAAUACUGGGAAUGAUCACACAAGACAUAUGGAAGAUCAAUAACCUAUAAAAUUUAAAAUAGCCUGAGUUGGAAUUAGUUCAGUCCUAAUAAAAAUUGCAAUUAUAAACAAUCAAAUUGUGAUUGAAUAUUAGUGUUGUUUAAAUAAAUAGAUAAGAAAAGGAAUGUUUCCUUUCUGGUCCUAUGAAAUGUUCUUUUUAAAAUAUUCUGUUCUAAUUAUAUAUUAAUUCGAAAAGUAAAAUUUUGUGUAAAAACGAGUACUUUUUUUUUCUUGCGUCUAUUUCCCAUUAGUGGCAGAUCUAUUAAGUAUCAACUUUUCUUACAUGGGGAAUGGUUAAAUGAUUCGUUUGGGUGGAUUUGAUUGUUGAGAUAAAUAUAGUACAUGAAAAUUAAUCUUAAACUAAAUUCAAAAUUCAAGUUUCCACAGCCUACACUAUACUCUCCAGCUCAAAAGUUAACUUUGGGCGUACUUCAGAUUGUCUGGGGAACGUUUAAAAAUACCGUUUACUGAAUCCCACCCGAGGCAAUCAAAUUGGAAUCUCUGUAGGUGGAGGCUGAGUAUUUCUCAGAAUCUCCCCAGUGAUUCCAGGGAACACAGACUGCAAACGUCUCAGGGGAGGGAGACAGUACCAGGGGUGGCGGAAUGGUCACCAAAGCUGCCUCGUUGUUCAUUGCUCCUCGGUACUAUGAAAGAUUAUAGGAGAUACCGAUAAAUAUGACACAAGGCUCAUUCCCCAGAUGCUGAGACCGUGAUAUGAGGUGAAAGGCUGGGUGAAACAUUGUCUAUGGGGUGGGGGCCGGGGGACGAGGAAGAUACUCAACCAGUAAAGUGCUCGACACCUAGGAAAACCCAUGGGGUGGAAAGACCGAGUUGUCCUCUCAUCACGUCUAUGCUGUGAUGCACCAUUCAACAAUAAAUAAUCAAGUAAACAGACAGACAGACAAAACAGAUAGGUGUGAAGAAUAGAUAAAAUGUGGAAGCUGAAGACAGCACAGGUGGCUAGAUGACGGAGAUGCUAAAAGCUAUUGAGAGUUCUCACCGAAAGUCAUGGAGGGUUUUGGAACAGAAACAGAGCUUACAAAAUGAAAAUGGGCUUAGAGAAAAAUUUCACAUUUAAGUUUAUGUUAAAUGAAAGGUUAAUGGCAAAACCGAGAAGACAAAGGAGGGAGCAGACACCGAAACAGAGCAGAGGCAAACCUCAGAAAAUGUAUAAAUGCAGACCUUACGUCGGCACGUCCACGGACUACGGACUGACUGCAUUAGUGUAUUUUUAACAACUGAAGUAAAAUCUUUGGGACUAAUAGCACAGCGAUGUUUUUCUUUUUGUGAGCGAUGUUGAUUGGCACAUGUUUGAGAGCAUGUUGCAGGCUGUGGGGGAAGGAGAGGGUCCUUCUGUCUGUAGCUGUAUGGUGGCAAAAGACAAUGAGGAGAUUGUGUGUGAAAGGACAAUUCACCGGAACUCAGGGAAAGCCAGAAAUCCUGGACAGGGCCAACUUGAAAGCUUUAAAAUCACCUUUUAAAAUCUCGUCAGAAUCCCAGUAGAAAUGUUUCUUCUGAGGCCAUGUCUGGAUUUACUCACUUCCCCUUCCCUUUUGUAGGUUCCUCCCCUCUUACAGAUCCACACUAUUUCCUAAAACCUCCAACCCUGAGAACAAGCUUCCAGCGUUUGAACCUUUGGGGAAGACGUAGUUAAAACCAAACAAAGCAAGGCAGGAGCCUGUUUUACAAAUGAAAGGAAGGACUGGGAAAGUGUGACUAGAAGCUUUGGUAUGUGUGGGGUUUGAGGUGCUGGGCUCUAGGCAGGGAGUAGACACAGAAUCUUAUGAAGGUGAUGCUCUAGGAAAUGCCUGGAGCGUUUAUGUGUGGAAUAAUAAGGAAAGGGUGCAAGAUGACCCUUAGGAAAGGUAUGUUCCCGAGCAAAACAUAAAAGGCAGAGUUAGAAAGACACAAUAAGGACGGGUGAUCUUAGGAUGGCGUUGAUCAAGAAUGUCUAGGCUCAAUGGAAGGUUUCCUAAGACUCUGAGAGAAGACCCUGAGUUUGAUAUCUAAAGAACUUUUAACCAAAACAUGGAGAGUCAUUCAGCUAAACCGGACAUGCAGGAGGGGUGAACAUGGGGAUAACAUAUUUAAAGGAACACGAACAUUUUAAAAAAAUGAACAGUGCCGGGCUGCUGCCAAGCUCAAAGGGCAUGAGUUAGAUCCCUGUAGCCCACAUGGUGAAAGGUUACUUUCUAAUCUCUGCAGGGGACCCUAAGUUUAAAAAUAAACAAAUAUUAAAAAAGAAAAGCUAAGGAGGCAUGGAAAUGAUAAAUCAAUCGGACCAGUGUGCGUCUUUUCUUACGGGGAAAUGAAUGAACUGCCUCUUCUUUUGUAAAGGAGAUUCUGGGUUUCUUUGGUUUGGGGUACCCUGGAUAAUUAAAAUUAAUCUACUAAUUCAUUUAUUUUUAUAUUAGAUAAAAGGAGAAAAAUUACCUUCCCAGCCCUUUCCUUAGGAGCCCUUACGUGUCCCCAACUUUUACAGCUUUUCCUUAGCAUAAAACUGCAGUCAGGGGCCAUGGUUUAACAGGUCUUCACAGUAGUAAAAGAAAAGAAUACUACUGCCCUCUGUGAUUAUUGUAAAGAAGUCAUCAAACGAGAAACAAAAUUAAUUACUUCCAUACCUGUCAAGAAGAAACAUCCACGAAAAAGCACUACAAACCCAAACGCAAAUGUAAAGUGUUCAAACACCAACCGCCGGUCCAAUAUAUUUACAGAUUCAAUUAGUAGAACUAUAGUCUUCAUGAACUGAAGCAUCGGGGGAACAAAGGACAUUUAACUAGAAAACAUAGUGAAAGGAAAAGAACAGUCUUUAGUUGGAAAACUUUAAAGUUCAGGGAAGAAAGCUGCAAUAAGUCACGUGUGUUGUGGUUUUUCUAAGCGUUUAAAGAAUGCUCUCCUAUCCACCCUGGACUCAGAAAAACUUCAGAGGACACCAUGAGCUGCUUUUGUGUGUUUUUAUCAGUUCCACAUAAUCCUAUCUUGUUUGGCAACUUUAAUAUGUGUUACCGGCCCUUCCCCACUUUCAGCAACUGAGGGGGUUUUGUUUUGUUUUGUUUCACUUUGUUGUUUUGCUGUUGUUUUGUUUUGAUUUUGCUUUUUGUUUGUUUGUUUGUUUGUUUGUUUUACAAGUGAAUUUGUCACAGAGCUUCUAUUCCAGGUUUAUGGAGGCAUCUGAGAGAGAGCAUUCACAGUUCUUAUUUUCAGUUUCACUUUGCGUACACGAAGACGGCUGUGUGGAGGUACUGUUCUGACUUCCAAUGCUCUCCUGAAAUACAGGGCUGGGAUUAUUCCCACCCUAUGCGUCUGAGGCUCCACACUGCUUGCUUAGCAUGCCACACAGUGACCUCGUUAGACUUGCAUGCUUCAUCAGCUCCUUGAAUAAUUAGAUCAUUGAUUUCAAUCUUAUCCGGAAAACAACUUCACACAUUUGGAAAAAUUUUACCAUCACUUGGCACUUCGACUCUGUGUCACAGUUGAAUGCUAAAAGACCACGAGCUUAUAUUGGAAUCACUACUGUUUUGCUAUUAAAAGUAGUAUAGUUUUCAAUUUAAAUGAAUGACAUUGUUAACAAAUAGAUUUUUAUGUAAGGUACUCUAUAUGCCGUAAUCCAAGUUUUCUUAAUGUUCUGUGAGAAUUCUGUAAUUUAAUUAGUAUCUCUGUAUUGCAAACUAAGAAAACUGUUGCCGUUAUAAAGUUGUUUAUUAAGGAAGAAAUUCUCUUGCCAUUUUGGUUGUUUGUUCUCUGCACUAGACUGGGAUGCCAGAUGGUCACAGGGAAGCAUGUUAAUAUUGUUUAAAUAGUGAUUUUAUUCCUUGAAAUGUGUCUGAGGUUUAAGAAAUUUUAACUAACAUGUUGCAUGGCAUUGAAUUUGGAAGAAAUAAGUUUUUGAGCACUUUACUUCCUUAAUAUGGUUUCAGUGAACAUGACGGAAAGUGAUAUAUUGUAAAAUCAGUCCUAGUCAUGCUCUGCAGUUAUAUAGUUUCUGGGUGUCUGUGUACAUGCCUGUGCAUGUGUGUGUGUGUGUGUGUGUGUGUGUGUGUGUGUGUGAAUAUAUAUAUCACCUUUGAAUAUCAUAGAACACAUGUGGAAACCAAAGGAAAACAAUAGGAGUCAGUUCUCUUCUUUGAUCAAUAGGUUCCAGGAAUCAAACUCAGGUCCUUACCCUGAGUGACAAGUUUCUGUCUUUACUUGAUGAACCAGCCUGUCAGUCCUGCAAUUCUAUUUCUAGAUGUCCACUUUUUUAUAAUCUAAUAUCAUUCCAUAGGUGCCAAAAACUACAAAAAUCUUCUAUUGCUUCCAGGUUUAAUUUCAGACUUUUAAAGCUUACUGAUUUGUGUUUCGGGCUGUCUUUAACUUCUUACAUUUCCAUAGGUAUAUAUCAAUGCACACAAAGACAUAAGUGGCUUGAACCUAUCUAUGAUUUUUGUUGGAGGAUCUCUUCUGUCAGAAAUGGGAUAGUUCCACCUCCCCCUUUCCCAAUACCAUCUAUUGUUCUAAUCACUGCAUGAGUCCCACCGGCAAUGGGCAGCUUCUCUGAAAUGAACAUCGCGAAACCCUCUAUCCUCCUUUUGGAGAUCUUUUGGAUAGCCUUUAACAUGUUCUCAUUAAUUAUUGAAUAUGUGCUUCCUCCUGGUAGUUCUUAAAGUAUCCUUUGGCUUAAAUAUUUUUAUUUAACAUUCACAGUCAACUUAGCUGCAAGCCUCAAGAACAGUGUUUCCUGAGGCAAUCAUUGUAAAUUUAGUGUUUAAUUGCUGUUUUCAAAAAAAAAAGUAGCAAAUACAAUAGAAAAAGCAAUAUGACGUAUACUGCCAAGUUAAAUGAGGAAUCCAUAACAAUAUGGAUAAUAAUAUUUAAAUACAUAUAACUAUUAUGUAAAUGAUGCUCAUACACUUGGUUUUUCCUUGUGUUAGGGAGAUAAUGGAUGAUAGAUGAUAGAUAGAUAGAUAGAUAGAUAGAUAGAUAGAUAGAUAGAUAGAUAUAAGUGAUAGAUGGCUAUUUUAAUCUUAGUGAUAUUGUGUAUGCAGGCCUCUGUGUGUGUGUGUGUGUGUGCAUGUGUCUCUGUGUAUAAAUGUGUGUUACUAUGUGUGAGUGACAUGGCAAAAAUUAGACAUUAGAGAACAUCAGAUGGAUUUGGACUUUAUCUUCCACCUUGACAUAGGGUCUCUUUUCUGUACCUAUGCCAGGCUAGCUGAAACACCAGCUUCUAAGAAAUCUUGUCUCUCUGACCUAUCACAUUGCAGCAGUGUUUUUAAAGACCCACAGCACUGUGCCUGUCUUCACCUAGGACCUGAAAACACAAAUCCAGGUCCUCAAUUGGCAUGGCAAAACUUUACCCAGUAAGUCAUCUCUUAAAUCCCCAAGAGUGGUAUUAAAAAGAGAAAAUAUAGUAACUUAACUUUGAUUAGCCUGUUACUAGUUUUCAAAAUCCAUUCUACUGUGCUUCUUAUUACCCAUAAUAAUAUGAGCUGUCUACUUGCUGCCGUGACAGCGUCUGCUUUCUGAAGAGGAACUCCAGUGUCCAGAGAAUUAUAAUUUUGUCAUAGAAAUUUGAUCUUUAUAUAGCACUCAGCUAGAGGGGCAGCAGAAAACAGUCUGGGUCUUCGUACCUACCACUAAUAUGCUGGCAGUCAUCACCCCUCUUUUAAAAAAAUCAAUAGAAAUAACUCAGUUAUUUAUUAUAAAAAUUUAAGAAACAAGUUUGGCAAAUGAAGAUACCAAAUCGUGAUUGCUCAGAUUCAGUAGCUAUCAAAUAGUCCCAAGAGUUGAAAGGUUCCUAAGUUACAGUCUUCAGUGUGUUUACUGUUCUGAGUGGGUACUGAGCCACACUUGGUCACUUCCAGCUCUGAGCACAGUUCAAAUCCCACUGUAACAUAUCUUCUCUAAGAGGAGCACCACCAUCCAGAAUUCAUACCAAGUUGGCAUGUUUAUGUACACACUGUCUCUGGCCCUCUCCCCAGCCACAGUGUGGAGAGUCACCUUUGACUUUUGUAGACAGGCUUUAAAAUUGGGGCCGGGCAUAUCGUUGUUCUUGCUGUUGUUGUUUUGUCUCUGGAUCUAGAUUUAAUCUAUGAAAAAAUCAGAGUCAUCAGAACAUCAGGGAAGCCUGUGAAAACUGGAUCAGGGCAGAAAGAGGAAUAUGUGCAGUAGAGCUGAGUCAUAUUAAUAAGGGAUCAGCAAAGAUUAAAGAGCUGCUGAUGUUGCAGGGUGCCUGAAGCCGCCAUCGCUCUAUAAUUACCUUGACUCCAAUACCCCUUAGCCCCAGGCGUGAAACAGCAUUUUCUUUCACUGUUGUAAGAUAUAGAUGCCAUACUUCUUCUUCCAGUGUAUAUAUAUAUAUUCUGGCUGGCAUAAAUGGGCCUCUAAAUUAUUAAGAAACUUAGCUUAACCAAGCCUUAGUCUCAGGGUUUUUACAUUUUAUCAAAUGAGCUUAUUCUAGAACUAACAGAUGCCACGAGGAAAGAAAAAUUGCACGUUUCGACAGUGGUAUUUUAAACCGAACUGGUCUGAGCUAGUGGAACCAUCUAUAUGCUUCUAAAGACCCAUCUCUUAUCUACAUAUCUAGUUUUCUGUUUCUUUGUUCUGAACCUCCUCCCCCUCAAAGAUUGAUGGCAGCAUUUUCUGUAAUUCAUUAUAGUCUUGCUUUCGCUCAAGGAGACAAUCCCUCGAAAUCUACAGCAAAUUACCCCAAUAAUGGAUGUGUUCUCAUAAUUCACCUUCCCUGUGUAUGUUCACUGAUUUGUGAAACUCUUUAGAACCGAACCUCGCUCUUUAAUGGACCAGACAGGUGCUUUUAGCUGUGCUAACCAGAACACAUAUCAUGUGACAACAGCUUCUGGAAUCACCCCAGAAACCAAAGGUGCAAAUGGGAGAUUGUGUGUAUCAUGAUCCACAACACAUGAUUAUUUCCUUGAUGAUUCUUUUCCUUUUGAAAUGUUAAGCAAUCUUUUUGUUUGUAAAUCUUUAGCUACAGUAAAAUAGCACCUUUUCUUUGUGGGCAAAAAGUAUCUUUCACCAUGAAAGCCAAAGCAUAGUUUCUUUAAACAUUUUUUUCCUCCCAUAAAUUCUGACUUUUAAAUGACUAAAUUAAAUGGUUCCUGUCACAUGUUAACAAUAUGGGGUCUGGGAUUGAAAGGAGCUCAGUGUAAUCUUAUUGAGCCAGUAGGUCACUGGAAAAAGAGAAAAUGUGUUUGAAUCGCAGGAGAGAGCGGAUGUUGGAUGGAUCUGCGAAAUACUUUCUGUUGUAGUAUCAGCUGACUGAUGGCUGCUAUUCUCAGAAGGACUCCAACAUUAUGCCUUCUAAAAGCCGGAGAUUAAUGCAACCAUGGUGAACCACACAGCGACACUCUGGCGAAGAAAAAGGGUCAGUGCUGGCAAGACGUGGCAGGUGUCAAAAUAAAAGGUUAGGCUCCGUGCCUGGGGACCCAUCUGUCAGAUAAAGCUAUGAUAAGGCAAUUAAUGCAUUUGUUUAUGUGCCUCGUGACACACCAUGCAUUCCAUAAAAACGAUCCGUUCAAACACUCUCGACUGCUUUCUGGAAAUUAGACUGUACGUGGAAAGAAAAUAACCAAGAUAAAAAUAAGUGUUUAUCAGUUACAGGGCUAGGUCACACAACCAAAUUAACAGAGAGAAAGUCUAUCUGUACUCAAGAACCUAAGCUAUUAAAUAUAACAUCUUCAUAAUAUACUAGGGACACUAUCUACAAGGUAGAUGUUUACGCUACAAGGUAACUGGUAUAACACCUCAGAAUCCCACCAUGUUUGACCUUCAUGGAACUAGACUCUAAGUUUGCAAUAAAAUUCAUCCCACAGACUUCAUGAGAAAGCGAGAAUUUCCAUCCACAAGCACCUUCUGCAUCCUGCAUCUUCCUCCUCCCGCGUCUUCAUCAAAUGUUUUGUUCACAACACUGUCAUUAUUAGGGCUUUCAUUUUCACUCCGAGCAAUACUGACUCCUCUCAUUGUAUUUAUUAUUUAUUUAGCUUUCUCACGACAUCUGCCUUACAAUCUGUUUAAACAGGAACAUGUUUAGAUUUAAUCCUCAUCAGUGAUGUAGUUCUUGAGAUAAAACAAAUCAUAUGCUUUUAAAAUGCCCUUGUCAUUUUACUGGUCAAAAAAUAAAGAAAAACUUUCCUGGAAUUAUGAAAAAAAAUAAGACUUUUUUUCAGCCCCAAAUUUUAGGUAAAAACAGAUUCAUUACUUUCGACUGGGGAAGGGUAAAAAAUGCUCUCAGUUGUGGUUUGAUAUGUUGUACUUACAGUAAUAUUAAAAAUUUGAAGAUAAGAAAGUGUCUUGUCAUCAGCAUAGUGUCCUAUGCCGAAGGGUCAAAUCCUUUAAUUUCCAAAGCAAAGUCAGAGAUGACUGUCUCAUUCUCAAGCUGCAUGUCUGACAGAGUGAUGUGAACGUUCACUUCAACAACAGGAGGAUGCAUUUGAAAAACAGAGCUUCCAUGAUCAAUAGAUUUUUCCUUUUGUUCAAGCAGGAUUCACCCCAUUAUCACUCCUUCCCAACUAUUAAAAAGGUUAAGUAAGAGGCAAAGAAAAGGGGGAAAGAGAGAAGGAGCUCUGGGAAGGGGGACUUACAAGGGGGGGCAACAUUUGGACUGAAAAUAAACAAAACAAUUAAUUUUUGGGAAAGGAUUUUAGUCAAACUUUAAGUCAAUAAUUUUUCUCACUAGGACUACUUAAGCAUGCCACAAAGUUAGCUUUCUUUCAUUGCUCCAUGAUUUCAAUGGGGCAAUGGAUGUGGAGACUGGAGACACAGACUUUGUUAUUUGCUUAUUUCUGUGGCCUAAUGCAUGAUUUACGAAUUACGCUUGUUGUCCAACUUCAACGAACUGCUACUUAAAACUGAAUUCUCUCUUGCCUUCAUUUCCUGACUCAGAAGCUUAUACUGUUGCUUUAAUUUUAUUUGAAUCUCAGUCUUCUGAAUUAUCUCUGUUUUCUGUCUCUUGAUCUAUAUUUGCCUGGAUGUGGCUGAAAAUAUAAUAGGGCAAAGUAAAAUUCUUAGUCAUUAUUCUAUAUGGCUUUUCGAAAUUCUAACAUACACUAUGUAACGUUGCUAUAGCCAACUAAGUUAACUGGCUACUUCCUCUUUACCACAGAAUAAAAGUAAUAUUCUCAACUGAAAGCCGGGAUCCCACCCAUUUUUCACAGAUCCAUUAAAAGAUACAUCAAACAAAAGGUAAGGUACUUUUUAACGUUUUCACAGUAGGAACAGUCCAUUGUCAAUGAGGAAUUUCACGGCACCUAUUUUGUCUUUACAUGGGAAGAAAAUAAACAGUGAGGUUUUUUAAAUGAUUUAAUUUCUACUUUCACAUUUCUACAGAAGUGUGAGCGAGUAAUUUUGCUGGAUGUCCACAUAUUUCAGUCGAGCCCUUUGAAGACAUUGUGAGUGGGGUCAUUGACUCCUCCCUUGCUCUGGGACAAUGGAAACCUGCCUCUGGGUUUACCACAGGUAUGUAUGUAUUCAUGAGUUCAUCCCUAACAGAUUGGUUAGAUAAACUAUAUCACAGAGUUGCUUCUCCUAUUUUUUAAGCUAAAUACAUACAAGAUUACUUGAGGAAAAAAUAACAAACUGGCUGUUCGUUAAGUCUAUGGUCAUGUUGAAAAUAGUACUUAACUGUAUAUUUGUUAUUUUAACAAAAAUUAAAAUUCUCAACCUAUCCUAUGUUAUGUAAAGAAAGUACCCACACCCAACUUUGUCUCUUCUUCUGAGGGAAAAAAGGCUGUUAUUUCUCUCAGAAAAUCUAUUUCUAAUUGAUUAGAAUUUGCCUCAUCCUCAUCAAAUAUACUUUCUCCCCAGGUUAUUAAGUUUUUAAAACAUUUAUUUAUUUACAUUCCAAAUGCUGUCCGACUCUCACAGAGUCCUUCCCCGAUCCUUCUCCUUUCUCCUCUGAGAGGGUGGGACCCCUGGGUAUCCCCCGACCCUGGUGCAUUAAGUCUCUGCAGGGUUAGGGGCAUCCUCUUCCACUGCAGUCAGACAAGGCAGCCUAUGUAUGUUCUUUGGUUGGUGGCUCAGUCUCUGAGAGCUCACAAGGGUCCAGGUUAGUUGAUUUGAUUGGGCUUCCCGUGGAGUUCCUGUUGCCUUUAGGGACUUCAAUCCUUCCCCCAACUCUUCCAUAAGAGUUCCCAACCUCCUUCCAAUGUUUGGCUCUGGGUAUCUGCAUCUGUUUCAGUCAGCUGCUGGUUAGAAGCUCUCAGAAAACUGUUAUGCUGUGAGCAUAACAGAGUAUCAGGGAUUGGUGCUUGCCUGUGAGAUGGAUUUAAAGUUGAAUCUGUUAGUUAUUGGUUGGCCAUUUCUUCAUUCUCUGCUUCAUCUUUGACCCUGCAUUUCAGUUAGGCAGAAGAAAUUUGGGGUAGAAAAUUGUGUGGGUGGGUUGGUGUCCAUAUCCUCUCACUGAGGUUCCUGCCUGGCUACAAAAGGUGAUCUUUCCUGGUUUCCUGUCCCCAUUGUUAGGCAUCUUGGCUAAGGUCACCAGCAUUGAUUCCUGGGAGUUUUCCCAAUCCUAGGUCACUAGGUUUUGUAGAGAUCCCUCCCACCUCUACUCUUGACAGUUGCAGGCUUCCAAUCAUUCUCCUGUCCCUCUGACCCUCUGUUCUGUCUCUCCAAACACCUGAUCCUGACCCCCUCACAUUCCCCUGCCUAUGCCCUCUCCCACCCAGUUCCCUUUCUCUCUCUUUUCAUUAGCUACAAAUGCAACUGGAUCAUAUCUGUCUUAGGCAUCAAUCUUCUGGCCAGACCUCUGUAUUUAAUUCACCUGUAGUCUAUGGUUUGAAGGACUUUUUUUUUUAAUUCAUCAAGCAUUUGUCCAGUAUUUGCCAAGUAAGACUUUAUCUCCAUUUCCAGCUGUUGCAACUCUGCUAUUCUUGGGGUGAAUCAUUCUUAAAAUGUAAACCUGUUUUAUUUUAGUAACAGGGAUUCUAUUUAGUGCCCAAUGCCGGUGAACCAGAAGGAAGCUCUGAGAGUUUGUAUGACAGGUAAGAGAAAGAAAAGAGUGAGUAUAUGGAAACAGUGAUAAACGGGGAAGCAAAGAGAUUUGUUGGAGAACAGGAUUUGAAGAUGAAGGGUCACAGCGCAACAAAAGGGUAAGACGCAAUGCUAAGUGUCUCGGUGUCAUAUCCUGUCGCUGUUGUAAAAUAUCCUCUCCAAGGUUCUUUAGGGAAUAAAUGCAGCCUUACAGCUCACAGUCCAAGCACAAUCCAGUAGGACAGGGAAGUGAAGCAGCAGGAAGUGAAUGAAUCACAUUUGCAUUCAGAACAGAGCAAUGAAUGCAAGCACACUAAUUCUGAAUUCACUUUCUCCAAGGUCUCCUGCUUAGGACUGGGGCCACCCACAGACAGUGAGUAUUUACUACAUGUUAGUUAACUUAAUCAAGAUGACCUCCUCACAGGUUCAUGCAAGGGCCAAUCUGCCAGAUCAUUCAAGAUCUUUGUCAGGUUGAUAUGAAUGCUCCCACUGAGCAAACUGGAAAAUGCCUUGCAAGAAUGAGGAAAGGAGAGAAAGGAAGCCACAAGAAACGAUUCAUAAAUUGCUUUCUGGGACUUUAUCAUAAUUUAAUUAAUUCUGAAAUAAUGGUCCUGCUAUGGAAUUGAUUUUCAUGAUAGAACGAAGAGGCCCCUCUGUCUCUGAAGAUGCUUCUCAAGUUGUCGCACUUCACCAUGGGAAUGGUACAGCUAUGUGGAAGUCAUUACCAUACAGUGUCGUGGAAGAUGAUCUUUGUAGACAAUUCAGAGCCUGCACCCCUGCUCCCUCCUCUCUGCUGUGUAUGGAAUCUUGGCAGGAGUCUCAGAGCUUUUCCCCUCUACUUAACAAGAACUGACUGUGGGCAUCAUCACCCUAACCCCAUGCCCCACGACACCCCAGCCGUGGACCACACACAGCCAAGGUGAUUCAGACCAUCACAACUGACAAUUCCAAUUAGGCAAAUCAGAGCUUUAUUUGUCCUGUGUUCCUUCAGCAUCAAACUGCUGGCGACUGCCAAUGUACCUAACCUUUCCCGGCCUCCCUUCUUUAUUGGAAGAGAAACAGAUAGAAUGACAGUUCUGUCUGCAUAAAAUUCUGCAGACCUUUCAAUAGAUAGUAUGUUUCCUGUUUCCUGUAUGUCGCAAACAUCAAUCUCAUAACUCUGGUAAUUUAAUUCAGCAUGUUCUACAGAACUGUGAACAACGUUUGCAAUUCUAAUGCACGAGAAAGCAUUUCAAUUAGGUCAUCACAAUUCCAGGGGAAGGGGAUUUGUAAAAAUCAUUUUACAGGUGAUUUUACAGGUGAGAUGUUUUCCUCUAAGCAUUAUUAGAAAGUUCCAAAGGCAAUGUGCAAUUACUAAAUUGUCUAUUAAAUUCAUGUAUGUAUAUAUGCAUUCAAUUAGGAUACAUUAAUCAUUCAUCAAGAAAAUGUCCCCCUUCUCCAGACAUUCCUACAAGCGAUCUGGUGGAAGUAAUUUCUCACUUGAGGUUCUCUCUUCCAAUAUAACUCUAGUUUGUAGAAAGUUGACAGGAACCAUCGAAACACACACGUAAACAAUUGUGCGAGUGUGUGAAGGCGCGAGUGCUUGUGCAUGCGCGCACACACACACACACACACACACACACACACACACACUCCUCUUGGUAUUUUCCUGGUAUAUUCUUCAGAAUUAGAGUAAAUCCAUGGCUUCAGUUCUUCAUACUCCUUAGUAAGUUAGUCUGAGGUCUGGUGUUAGUUGUUUGCACUGCUGUCCAGGAAGCUCUAAUAGAAUAUUCUAAGACACAGGCCACUGUUUCUAUUAUGAUGACAGGCAGCAUGUACAGUGUGAACCUUUAAAAGUAAGCUCUGCAGGAAAUCAGGAAUUUAAGUAAAGAUUAAACCAUCAGUAAAUCACCUCACUUACUUGCCCAGCUAAAACCUCUUUCAUCUCGGUUGUCUUCCACAGAGACUAUUUCUUCUUCCCAUCCUUCCUUCUAUUCCUGCUAUAGCAGUGUAAUUUUUACAACAUGCAAAAAUAGCUUAUUUAAAUUCUCUUUUUGCACAAUAGAUUACAAACCCUGAUGGUAAUUUUGCUGUCAAAAUUAUUUUUAGAACUUAGUUAUGGAAUUGUAUAGUAUUAAGACUACUGAAGUGAAAUUUUUGUUUAUUACUUAAGAGACUUUGUAUGAUCGUUUAUAGAAGUGAGUAGAACUCCCCUGUCCCUCUCCCUGGCUGGGUUUUCGCCAUAUGUUACUCCAAACCCCACCUGCGCCUCCCCAUUGUCCCUUCAAUUUGAGCUUUGCCAAUCACCAUACAUUGUCCAAUAUCACUUUAGCAAGAAUGAUGAAGGCAGAUGUUUGUCAGAGCUGUCAUAUCUGCUGGCCUGACUUAAAAGAAACUUGAAUUACAUUCCAGGAAGCAAAAGGGACAGCACAGGAGAGACCUGUCAUGUCCGAUAAGGGAGCAGCGCCGAAUACUAGCCAUAUGACAGUGGUUAAAAUAUGCUAAGAUGGCCUGUCCACUAAUAGUUAAUGCCACCUUACCAAAGACUCAUGAAAAUAGAUAGCGCAAUUGUUUUCCAUCAGAACCUGGCAAGUUAUAGCUCAUGGAACAAAUCCUAGACAUCGAUUGUUUUAACAAUGAAGAAUCUGGGGAACACAGACUCACGUAUUUAUUUGUAGGCUAUGUAAACUAUUUCACUUUGCACAAAAGUGGUAAAGUUGAGUAAUCAAAGACUCUAUGGCCUGGAGAACCUAAAAAACGCCAGCUUUCUUCUUGUAGGGGAAACUUUGUGAACUCUUGCUUUGAGUCUAAGAGGUAAGGUAAUUUGUUGGGCAGCAAUAAAUUACCCCGACGUUUGCCCAAAGGGAACAUGCCUCAUUUCUUAUUAAACCAAUAAAUUCCUAUGCUCACAAAAAACUACAUAUGCAUUUGCAGAGCCAAUAACCUUUUCCUCUGGAUAAAGCUUUUUGUUCAGCUUGCGUUUCUAAAGUCCGUUUAUGCAGAAGCCUAGUUUUACACCAGCAUUUGCUCUUUAUUCGCCAUAGCCAUGGCGCUGAGCAUAAGGCUACACUUCCGGAACUGUAUUUCUGAGUCCCUACAUUUUACUUUACCCCACGUUUGCGUUUUCCUUUCUGAAGUAAGAAGGGAGGAGAUGUAGGCAUUUCUUGGGGCUUCUCUCUUCCCUCUCUUCCAACUAACUGGAACCUAUAGCCACGUGACUCACUAUCCAAAGUAGCCAACUGUGCUGGAGAAGUGGGGUAGACGAGCUAUUCGAAUAGUUUAAGCCAACAUUUUCUCUUUCUAGAACUCCAUGGAACACGAGUUCUCACAACCUAGAUACUCAAUUUUGAUCUCUGAAUUAGAGAGAAGUGAAGGCGAAUCUUCUCACAUGUACCAAAUGAUCAUUGGAUAUCAUGUUCUAACAGGCUGGCCAUAUCCUAAAUAAGGCAACAGUUUUAGGCAUAAAGUUUUGGAACCAAAAAGAUUUAGUUAAUAAAACAUUGGAUUUUUGGCUCCAAACUCUAAGUGACUUUGAUAAACUUUGCCCCAAUUUUGUUAGUUGGCCAGAGGCAAGCCAUUUACAGUAACCAUUCUUUUCUCUUCCUAGAUAAGAAUACACAACUCCAAAUAGGCGAAGCAGGAAUUUUGAACACUGACCUUUCUAAAUCCUGUUUCUCCCAAGUCAGACGGUUGCAGUAACUGGCAAUUGCCCUAGGCAUGUGUCAUUUUAGUUCCCAGAAAUGCUUGUGCACCAACAUAGAGCCUUAGGUGAUACAAUAGGGACAUAAUGAAGGUAAGCCUUUGCUGUACAGGCAGCUACAAAGCACAUGCACUGAAUUUCUUAGGCAAUUAGCAGAAAAUUAGAGAAUAGAAUUUAGUCACACCAUGAAUCCAUAGACCCUGAUGACCGUCAGUAUGGGUCAGUGAGGGGAACCUCACUUGAGCAUGGUCUCUAGUCCUCCAGAGCUUGUCUCCCGAAGACUGGCGGGAAGCCUAUGAACUCAUACAUGCUACUAAUCCAUGUGAUUCUAAGAGUGACCUAUUCGUAGGAAAUCCAGAUGUUAAGACUCCAUUGCUGAAAUUCCGGAGAUAAAUGUUGCAAAUAAGUUCUGGAGCAACCAUCAAACAAAUUAAAAACUUAGUUUCUAAACGGAAUGCAUUCACAAAUAUUCUUCGCAGGGUAAUUUUAUUGCAAGUAAAGAAGAAUUCCCAAACACAGUUUUAAAGCUGGAUGCUGGCUGGUGGUACCAGGGAAACACCUACUCAUCCAUCAAUGCCCGUUUAAAAAAUGAUUUCUGUUGGAAUUUGUAUCAGUUGUUCCAGUUAUGAACUGCCUCAAAUGUUGUAAUUUGUGGACGUGAACAAGCAGCACAAUCACCUCAGUUAUCUAAUUACCUGCCUUCCCUGUUGGACUCAAUGUUGUGCAAGGAAAGGAACGUGUUACCUUCUGUGCUCACCAAAAUAUUCCCAGAGCUUGUUAAGAUGGUAGGAACAGCCCCAUUUCUUAACAAGUGUUUGCGGAAGACAUGGAUCUCUCAGUGGAGAACAACUGAUCGGAUUCUACCAGCAUUGGAAAUGUGAGCACGGACAGUGAUGAGUCCUCUGCAAGAGGAGUUUGUAUGGAGCUGAUAAGGAGUUAAGCAGCACAGAAGACAUGUUUUCAAAAGAUAGUGUUGGGCUGUGCCAUUACAAAUCUUAGAGCCAGAAGUUACAUGAGAAAGACGUAGAUUUUGACACAGGGCUAAGGACUGGCAAGGAAAAUCCAAUUCAGACCAUUCUCCCUAUAAAUGACAUACACAGGUUUGGGAAAGGAAAUUGGAACCAAUUUUGUUUUUCUAUCCCAUAAUAUAAUUACUAUGGCUAAUCUUAUAUGAUCUUAAAUAGUCUUUUGAAAAACUUUCAGGAUAUGUAUUCAUGAAGAAUAGAGCUGGUGUUUAGACACCUUCCUUAUCAGGGCAGUAAUCUUCCCAAUUACUAUAUUCCAAAAUGAAACAGAAAAAAACAACAAACUUAAAGUAGAACCUAGUUCUUCAUGAUUAAGUUGAAAAUUUAAGUAAAAUAUGUUAUUGAGAGAUUGUUAUACUCCAGAAGUGAGGAAAGAUAAAGCAAGGGCUAGACCACAACACACCAGAGGCUAGACCACAAUGUCCUAGAGGUCAGAUCAUAACACACCAGAGGGAAAUGGAGGAAACAUGGGAGAAAGCUGUCACAUGUACUUUAUGUCACAGAGAGACAUACCUGUGUCAUUCUGCAAUGUCAGUAUUCACUGAAUAAUAAUAAAUUCACAAAUUUCAUUAGUUUCAACUCUAGUCAUUUGCUAGAUAAUUUCACACUACCUUGGUAAUCUGGCUAAGGCAAAUGAAGGUUCUUUUAUUUCAAACUUAAGUAUUAACAUUGAAUUUCUUAUAAUGCAUCUCACAGCAGUGAAUCAGUAUGAGAGUUUAUCUAUAGGCAUGUAUGUGGCUUACAGAAUGAAUAUAAGAGGCAGUAUUCAAAGGUCCUAGAAGUAGGCUGGUGGGUAACGUCAACAGAGUCUGUAUUGAUAAGAUAACUAAUAACCCAGGCCAGUCGAAAAAAGAACUCAGAUUGGUACAAGGGCCUGUCAUCACAUUGCUAGAUGUCCAUAAUUUUAUGGGGUUCAUGUGAGGGAAAUACAGCAUUUUCUUAGUCUAAUGAGACAUAUGCGUUCUUGUGUCUAGUUUCCUUGUUUUGAUGGUUAAGAUGCCCAUGUACCCUCAAAGUCUCAAUUAACCUCCAUAAACAUAAAAGCUGGCAAGCUUUCUACUUUUUCAACCAGAGCUGGUUGAGUGGUGUUCGAUGGAUAAUGUGGCUUAUGGUAACACCCAGGGGACAUAGCCGCCCACCUCUAAAAUGGAGCAAAAAGCUGUUUGUGAAAUAGAGACUCCUGGGUCAAGGCACAGCCUGAGAAAAACUUACUUUAUACAAUAUGAAGUAACAGUGGAGCAAAGCCUGAUCUCAACAAAAAUAAAUGGGGUAAAAGCCAAUCCAACCGGGAAUGCCACUUAACCCCUCUCUAGCCUGAACUCAUUAGUAAAAUUAGGAUGAAAUAAUUUAUAAGGCUGCUAUUAAUGUUAAAAUUUUUAUGAGCAGUAAGGCUUUAAAACAUGAUGUCUUCAGCAGAAAAUGCCACUGUUUUUCAAUAUUCUUUUUACAUGUAAUGGAAGCAAGUUAAAAUAAUAGGUCCGAUGUUCACCAAGCCAUUAAAUAUUUACUGGUCACUCUCCUGAUGACCGUUUUGAUUCAUUACAUGGUAUAUAUAAAUCAUCGAUAUAUUCAAAUUAUAAACAGCUCAGGAAGGACUCUUGCAGCUCAUGCUGUGGCUUUUAACUAGAAUAAAAAUUACCUCCUUAUUUGUGGGGGAUGUUUUUAAGUUUAUCACUUGUUAAGGGCACUAGGAGUCAAAGCAAGAUAUUACACAUGUAUGAUAAGUUUAGCAUGUUAAUUUUUCUGCUGGGUUGCAAAGUGUGUCCUGUAGAUCAUUUUAUCUUUUCUGUUUAUUUUUAAAAUGUUAAUAUCCAGUAAUAACCAAUUUGAAACAGUGAGAGGUGCUUUCUCUGUCAUGUGAUAUACCAAGAGUGAAAAUAAAAACUUGAGUUAUUUCUCUUGAAUGGAAUAUAACUGAAGAUAAAGGGAGAUGUGGUAGGAUAACAUUUAUGAAUGCUCUAAGAACGUUCUAUGAAUCUGCCUUCUUCUUUUUACUUAGUUCUGUGUUCCUCCUAUUGCCCUUUCUUUUUGCUAAAGUGUCAUGUUUUUUUAACCUACUGGGUUGCAACCUUCAUAUUUUGCAAUUUCUUCAAAUUUAUUCAUAAUAUGUGUCUAUGCUAGGUGCUAUACAGCAGAGAUCCAUGAAUGGAUAAGCUUUUCCUUCCAACACUGCCUUCCCAAAGUCAUUUUCAAGCCCUCUCAGGGAUCCUUGCCCACCCCUUAGAUCCCCAGUACCUAUGCCAUCCCAACUCAUUCCCUUCCUUAGUUUCUUAUGCAAUUGAACGUGCUCUGGUCUCCAUCUUGAGAGUCAAGGUAACUCCUUUUGGACCCCAGGGCAGGGGAAUGUCAGGGGGGAGGUGUAGAUAGGGGGUUACAUCCUUGUGAGGGGAGGGGAGGGGGAUGGUAGAGGGGGCUUAUGGACAGGAAACCGGGAAAGGAAAUAACAUUUGAUAUGUAAAUAAAGAAAUAUAUCCAAUUAAAAGAAAGAUAACUCCUUGGAAACUUUUCCCAAAUUCUGCCUUCUCAUCCUGUUUUUGAACUAUGUCUGUUUUUGAAAUUAAGAAGAUGUGGCAGUCAGAUAAUAAGAAAAUCUGCCAGGGUCCCCAAGCUAAUACAUGAUGAAUGAAGGUAGGAUCUCAGAAGCUGGAAAUAAUGAUUCUGUUGUGUCUUAUUUUGCUUUAAUCCUUUUGUACAAUACAAUCUUCCCUUCUUGGUCUGCCCUGUGACCACGCUCCAUCCCAUACCUCCUUUACCAUCCCCCCUUCUCUAAGAGGAUGUCCUCAACUCUCACCCCCACCCCACCAUUCCUCCCCACUCCCUGGGUCCUCAAGUCUCUCAAGGGUUAGGUGCAUCCUCUCACUGAGGCCAGACCAGGCAGUCCUCCCCUGUAUAUGUGGCAUAUAUGUCAGGGGCCUCAUAUUAGCUGGUAUAUGCUACGUGGUUGGUGGCUCAGUGUCUGAGAGAUCUCAGGGGUCCAGGUCAGUUGAGACUUACUGCAAUGUUUACAUUCACAAUGCAGAUGGUAUACGGAAUCCUGCUGAAUGUAGCAUUAAAAUAAGUUGCAAACUAUCCUUACGUUCUCCAAAUUUGCCAAUUAUCUCAGACCUCUGGUCAGAGACUAAACAAGUGUUUGCAGGGGUAGGAGUGGGGUUAUUUAUAGGUGUUACCAGGUAAUUCAAAAAAAACUAUUGACAUCUAGUAAUGCUGGCACUCCUAGGCACUGAGAACGUCUACCACCAUAUGCACCAGCAGUCGAAAAUUACCUCUGCACUGCUGAACACAAUAUAUAUAUAUAUAUAUAUAUAUAUAUGUUCGUAGUAUGCAUAAAACUACUUUAUUUGGUUGGGUAAAAUAGGUAAACGAGUUCUAAUUAUGGUUUUUGAGACAAAUCCAUACUGAUUUCACUGUAGAUGGGUUAAUUGCCUAUCUACAAUGAUUUUUCUUAUUUCUAAUUUAUAUGUAUAUACAUUAUUAUAUAUAAUUAUAUUGUAAUAUCACAUGAUAUAUAACAUAUCAUGUAAUAUAAUAAUAUUCCCCUCGAGCUGGAGUUACAUAUUUAUGUGAGCUGUUCAACAUUGUAUUCCUCUACUAGACAAGCAGCUGAGAAGUCUGCCCUGGGAAUUGGUAGCUUACAAAUAGUGUCCCCAGUCUAUUGAAGUCAUUUCCCAAGAACUAAAGGGAAGUUUACUUGGUUUAACUAUUUAUAGUUACGUAGUAUUCAUUGUUUUUAUGGUUUCUUUUACAAGAUAUUGUAUCUUUGGUUAUUAUCUACUGUGAUAUGUAAAGUAAAGGCUUUAUGAAAUGUAUAGUAAGAGCCUUUGUGUCUGGCUUUGAGGAAAGCCAAGCCUCUGCUAUGUUUGGGUCAAUCAGUUGAGGUUGAAAAAUUGUUUUGAGAUUGUGUAAAUCUUGAAGAAAUUGUUGUCUCUUUAGAAAGUCUGUGUUUGGUGCAAUAUGAGAACUUUUAGCUGCACACACCUUGGUCCUAAGAUACUCCUGGUAAGCCUGAAGUUCUUAGAUUUGAUUCUGAGUAGCCAUAGUCAUAAGGGACUGUGGCUUGUCUGCUCUCCCUGACAGCAAGGGCAGGAUAACUUUGGUAGUUGCAACCUUUCAGAGCUCCAAUUAAUUUUGUGUAAUGAUUGAAUAAAAGUAGCCGGAGUGAGCUAGUCAUGGUCAGUCUUUUUUCCAAGAAGUCUGAACCUCUCUGCUUCUUUGGGAAAUGCAAGUUGAGUAUUUUGAUGAACUUCUCUUUCUACUGAGGCACCCAUAGUUAACAUCAAAUAAUAAUCCAUUUUGGGGGAGAUAACAACAGCUCAAUUAUUUUCAGGACUUUAGAACAUUAAAGUAUUUUAUUAAAUUUCUGUGAAUGAUUGACUCCUUCUACUAUCCAUACAAAUUUGCUCCCCCUGCUCUCAAUCCCCUCCAUUCCUUUUGGUUAAAAUGAACACUGUCUUUGAGAUAAUGCAUGAGUGUACACGUGAGCUAAUUUUUGCCACAUAUAUACUGAGUGCAAUUGUGCGUGUGUUGCUUCAAUCAGCUUGUCCUAAAUCCCCUCACCAGUUUGUAUCCUGUUAGCACUGUGCUGGCUUCACCUGCACUGUAGCCACACCAAUGAGGGGAUUGUCUCUGCUGUCUCUACUCUGGUAGAAAAGACCACAAUCUGCCUCUGACUUACAUUAAGUUGACAAACAAUGGAGUUGGAGGAUUAAUCACAACCAUUGGACAUUUGGAGACGCACAAUUGCCAACCGCCUAUUGAAGUAAUUUCCCAUUUCCUACUGGACUAUAUUGUUUUCAUAUUGAUUUGAACAUGUUCUUCAUCUAGCCUAGAUGAAUUUGGAUGCAAUUGAUCUACACAUUUGUAUAUGUCAUUUACAUGCAUGUUUUGAUUUGAAUUCUACUUAUGAUACUUUAAGUCACUAAAUAUUAUUUUAUUUUAUUCAUUAUUACUGCAUAUUUCUGUGGUGGGUGUGUGCAUGUGUGCAAGCCAAGUUACACAUGGGCACAUCCGAGGACAAUACUCAGUAGUAGAUUCUUUGACUGUGCAUCCCAGAGAUUGAAUUUAUGCUGUUAGGCUUGUACAGCAAGUACUAAUAUUCCACUGAGCUGUCUAAUCUAACACUUCAUAUUAGUAUAGUAAAUCUUACUAACUGGACUGUAAUGCUCUUCAAUUAUCAUUUUUUCCUUAAUGUAAUGUUAAUGAUAUGUACUGAUUAAUAAAUCAUUGACUCUUUCCAAAAUAUUUAAUUUACUUCUUGACUUUUACUGCUUUACAGCCUUGUUCUCCACUAGUGUAAUUUUAAUUUUAUGUGUGUGUUUAUCAAAUGAAACCACUUCUUUGCAUUCCCAUAGCCUAUACUACCUCCCUAGUCAUACAGCCACACGAAUGUAGAAAGUUACUGAAUUUGCAUUGGUUCUCUUGGUACAUUACGUUACCACAACAAUGCUGUUUUAAUGGUCAUAUUGUGAGAAUAACCGCUAAAGGAAUCAUUCUUCCUUAUUCUUCUAUAACACUCUUGACUAUUCUUUAAAAACAUUUAAAUUGCCUUUGCAUUUAUUGUGUGUAGAGGGCAUUUGCCCUGCAGUACAUGUGAGGAGAUCAUAGGACAACUUGUGGCAGUCAGUAUUCUCCUUUUACCACAUGGAUCCUGGGAAUUAAAUCAAUGCCCACAACUCUGGAAACAAGCACCUUUACCUGCUGACCAUAUACUCAUGACUCUUCUUAAACCUCUGAAGUUGUGUACAAUGUGUCAAAUGAAAAUUGCAUCUGUUCUCUGCAUACUUAAAAGCUUUUAUGAUUGGUUUUUGAGCUUUGUUAAUUUGUUCAUGGGACAAGGUUUCAUAUUCUUUUUUAUGUUAAUAUUGGCUCUUUGUAUUCUUUUAUUGCUAAAACCCUGUUAGGAUUCCCAGACUAAAACUAAUCCUUUUUCAUGCACUGCUCUAUUUAGUCGGCUAAUACUCCGGUCAGUACACUUCCACCUGUAUUCAUGAAAAUGGUUCAUUUGUGACUUUAAUUUUUUUAAUUUUUGCCAGAUUUUACAUAAAUUUCAACCAUUGAAUAGAAUUGUUUCCCCGAUUAUUCUCAUCAUUUCCUAAUGGAUUCGCGUAGAAUUGCUAUUACUUGUUCUUAAGUACAUAGACAACUUUCUUGAUGGAUUCAGUUGAAAUAGUGUUUCUAUGUGAAAACAAUAAAUUAAUUUGUUCUUAAAGUGGAUACACUUAUUAUUCAAAUAUCUAUGCAUUUUAAAACUUUUUUACACUAUGUUCUUAAAUAGUUCACUUUACCUUAAUUAUUAAAGGCAUUUAUAUAAAGUCAUUCAAUAUGUUUUUUCAUUAAUUAAGACUGAUAGUGCUGUCCUUUUUGUUUCUUAUAUGGGUAAGCAUAUUUUAUUUCAUCUAUUUGAUCAAGGUUGUGGGUAACUAGUUUAUUGUUCAAAAACAAAAAAGAACUUUGUGCAUUGUUGAAUGAAUAUAUAAUUUGUGGGCUUUAUAUUUCAUUUAUUAAUGGCCUUUCUUUUUAUUUCACUCUAUUUUGCAUGUGUAUUUUACAUGUUGUUCUUUCUGCUAUUAGAAUUCUUGAGGUGAAAGUGGAGACUUUAUCAACCUUUUUCUUCUCUGGUAUGAGAAUUUAAACUCUGAAUAACAUGACUUCAUUUUCAUUCCAAAAGUAUUAUCUGCCCCUUGGCACUUUAUACAUAGGUCAUGUAAGCUCCACUAACUUUUCCUCCUAUUAUUGAAGAAUAAAUUGCUUAGUUUUCAGAAGUUGGAGAUUUCUAGUUAUUUGUCCUAUUAUUCUUUAGUUUAAAACAGCAAUUAGUAACCUAAACUUUAUUAUUAUUUGGAAUAUGUAAAGAUUAAUUUUUGGUGUGGGUUCUUUGUAUAUCUAAAGAUGCCAUGUAUUUAAUUCUCAUUAUAUGCCAAUGUAUGCCUGCUGGUCAUUGGUGGUAUUUUUUUAUACCUUGUAUAUUAUUAAAAUAUUGUCUUGUUUUAUUCUAUCACUCCUAAAAUAAUAAAUGAGUUUUCUGUUAUAUCUUUGGAAUUAUUUAUCUUUUACUGUUACCUUUAAUCUACCACUUAUCUGUGUCAUUUAUCAAUAUAUUAUUUCUAAUCUUUCACCUAUUUAUCUGUUACCUAUUAUCAUGUUUGUUAAUAAUUCUAUUAAUAAAUAGAAUUAUUUGCUAUUGAUUUAUAACGCUAUGAUUUAUAAUUAUAGCAUAGGUAUGACAUUAUUGGAUAAACACAAUCUUUUAACUGUAUAUCUUGUUCGUGGCUUGAUCUUUUAUUAAUGUGAAGUAUACUUUGAUCUAUCAUUAAUGUGAAAUAUUAUUAUGUACAGAAGUUUUCUAGUUUUAAAGCCCCAUUCUUUUCAUAACUAUCUAAUAACUAACUUCUUUUUCAAGAUGUUUAUAUGGAAUUUCCUUUCAUAUUCUCCUAUAUUCACACAGGUGUGCACUCACACACACAUGCACAAACACACACACACAUACACAUACACAGACACACACACAGACACACAGAGACACAUACACACACAUACACACAUACACACACACUAAAUAAGUGAAUGUAAAAAGGAUAAAGUACAUGAGUAAAACAAAUAGUGUUUAUAAUUCACUAAAAAAACAUUAACGUCCUUUCUUUUGUAGCUUCUUUGUUGAUUUGUUUGUUAUUUAUUUAAGAAAAGAUAUUCCUCUACUGAUCUGAAAUUCACUAUGCAGCCCAGGAUGGCCUUGAACCCAUGAUUCUCUUGUCUCAGCCUUCAGAAUGGUGAGAUACACCGGCCUGCCCAGCUCUUCUCGACUCUGUUUCUAAGAUCAGUUUAGGUUGAUUUUGUUUUCGUUACUAUAACAGAUUAACAAAUGAGUUACUUUAUUGGCAGGUGCCUUAAAUACUACACAAAGAAUCCUGGUCCAAGUGAGGUGCUCUGACUGCCAUGGCUGGCUUCUUGUGUAAGCACAGGAUUACUCUUUUUCUUGUGGUUUUAUCACCCUUUCAUACAUAAUACCAAGGAUUAGCAUCUUCCUUUUUUAUUGACUUGCCUUUUCUGUGCUUUAUCUCUUUUAAUGAUCUUUUGGAGAGCUAGCAUUUAAAUUUAUCACUCGACUGUUCGACUCUCGUUUAUAAAUUAUUGAUCUCCAAUUGUAUCUUUAAUUCAUCCCUGCUCUUUCGGACUCCUUUAAAAGAAUUAUUUUUACUGGAAUGAUUAAUUAAUCUGUUUUGAUUCUUCUUUAUUUAACAUGAAAAAAUAUUAAAGCAUUAUAUUUUCUUCUGAGCACAGGUCUGGCAGAGUCCUACUGGGCUUAUUUCUUUAUGCAUAUAAUUUUGAUUUUUAACCUUGACAUGAGUUAGGGUUACUUUUCCCCUCCUUUUUCCUCUACCAAAACUUCUACUUUUGCCCCACUACUCCAAUAUUGCUACCAUCUUCGGAUAUGGUGACAUAUAUAUUUUCUGUUUUUAUUAUUUUAUUUAUUUACAUUUCAAAUGCUGUUCCACUACCCGAUCUCCCCCUCUGCUAACCUUUCUGUCUCCCCUUUGCCUCUAAUAGGGUGAUUCCCCCACCCAUCCAUCCACCCACUCCCACCUCACCCCUCUUGCAUACCCUUUCGCUGGGGCAUCAAGGUCCCAUAGGACCAAGUACCUCCUCUCCCACUGAUGCUAGAUAAGGUACACAUGCUAUGAACCAACUCAUGUUAUGUUCUUCUGGUUGGUGGUUUGGUUCUGGAGAGAUCUAAGGGGCCAGGUCAGUUGAUAUUUUUGUUCUUGCUAUCUUGCUCUUAACCACAGAGCCAUCUCUCCAACCUUUUUGUAGGCAUGUAUUUUAACUGAGUGUCACAUCCAAGCUGCUUUUGUAACUGAUCGUGACAGCCUCAAUGAGUUUCAAGAGGAGAGCUGAAUGACAAGGUUGGGACAGGAAGGGGUGUGAACUCUGACUAUGAACGGAAGUAUGUGCCUUCCUCCUGAUUUUAAAAUGCAGAUCUAAAGGAGAAAGGAACUGAACCUUCUCCCAACACCCUGGACCCCAGAUUAAAAAAAUGGUAGCUUCUGGAAUGAGCAAGUAGACAUCUUGAUCUCCAAAGAUCUGCUUUAUGUAUGGAAUUAUUGCUUGGGAAAUGUAUAGAAUUAUUGUUGUAAGACACAAAUCAAUGUCUCUCUCUGUAGGCCAUUAUUUCAAGACCCUACUUCAGCAGCUACAAUAAUGAUAUAAGUGAAGCAAUGAAUAAUUACUAAUCUGUUGCACUGUUAUCAAGGGAUAUGAAAUAUUCAAAUGUAUAUUCUAGUUUUAUAUAAACUAUGCUAAGGUACUGUAGUUAUUUAAGAAGUGCUCACUGUAUAUUAUACAUUUUUAUGAGCUUUCUACUACAUAACUCUAUGAUGUUUUAGCUUGUAUACACAUACACAUAUAUACAUAUAUACACAUAUAUAUGUAUAUACAUAUGGAGAGAGAGAUGUUCAAUCCUAAUCAUGUUACUACUUUUCAUAGCAUGCUCUAUAUAGUAGCAUUGAAUAGAGCACUGAUGAGUUUCCAACAAAAUGAAAAUGUUUCAUGGCUGCUUUAUUAUGAGCUCCCUAUUUUUAUUGACAAGGACAAUGAACCAGAAAUGAAUCCAAUCUCUCCUUCACAAGCGGUUACAAUGGUAAACCACAUUGUUUCAUUUUGCUGUUUCUCAGGUCCCACGGCAGUGUAAAGGGGGGAACAACAGUAUGUAUUCCUCAGGAUUAAUAGUCUCGUAAAAUCUUAAUCAUGCUCAGCUGCUCAGGGGCGUGACUUUGCAGUGCACAUAAGAGGCAGUGAGAAGUAACAGAAUAUUGGCAUCUGCUUACAGCUGACUGGCCUGAGCUUGCCCAAGUUUAUUUUACCGAAGAUGCUUUGGCUACAGCCAAAUGAGAGGAAAAAAUGUUCCGUCCAAUAUUGAUUUGAAGAUGUUUGUUCUAUAUCACUAUGUUCUGCUAUCUGCCCCCUCAACAUUCACAUUUCUUGAUAUGGAUACACAUUCUGUUUGCACAUGCGUAUGUAUUUCUGAGGAGAGAUACAUAGGAUGGGGCUGAUUUUAAAGUUUCUCCACAGGUAGGUCUUCUAAUUAAUUAACUAAUUAAUUAAUUGACGUGCGUGUAGGAGUACAUGUGCCAUAGCAACACUCACAUGGAGGUUGGUGGAGACAGUGUGCUGGUUUUGCCCUACUACCGCAUACGUAUCAGCAUUCAAACUGGAUCAUCAGUUUUGGUGACAAGUACCCUUACCUACUGAGCCAUUCACCACUGCCUCUGGAUCUAUUCCUAUGCUAAGUGAUAAAGCUGUGACCAAAGUUCUUCAGCCUUUUACAGUUUUCCUCUGAUACUGGUUGGUUCAAGUUUUUCCUGCACGCUACCAUCAAACGUUCUCUAGAAUUCACUCACUUUACCCUUAGAUAACUUGCUCCCUGAUAUUUUCCCCUUCUUUUAAGUCAUUUUCUUUCUUGCAUCUGAAUAGUACUUUUCCAUGUAGCCUCCAUGCUCUCUUUUAUAGGAAACAAUGCUUUCUUGAAGACUUUUGUGAAUAUUAAUUGCUCUCUAGUUUCUACAGUGAAAGCACAAUUCCUGGCCAUCUCAGGCAGCUGCAGAAUUCAUCUCAUUAUUUUGGUUGUUAUUUCAUAUAUUUGAUGUUGGCUUUUAUUUUGUAUUAAAAAAUUUGAUUAGAGUCUUUUGAGAAGAAUCUUUCUUUUUGUCUUUUAUUUGGUUAAUUUGGUUGUUAUUUCUUUUCAGGUAAGGGUUUCACUGAAUAGUCCAGGAUAGCCCAGAUCUCAUUAUUCUUCAAUCUUAGUUUUCUGAUUAAUGGGAUAGUAUCUAUAUUCCAGUAGGCCAUGGGGCAUGUUAUUUAUAUUAUUAUAUUGUUUUAAUAUAAUAUUUAUUAUUAUUUAUAUUAUUUACAUAAAUAAUAUCUAAUAAUAAAAUCUACAGGACAAUAUCUAAUGACACUCCCCAGUGUCAGUUUAGAUAGUAAGUACACUGUCUUGUUCCACAGCACAUCUUACAAUAGUAAUUUGAAUAACUUUUUCAAUGUAACUUUGAUGAUGGGGUCAGUGUGUUUCCUAAUACAUUUAACAAUUCCUGUCAGUUUUUCCUCUUAUUCAUUUCUUUAGCUGUGAGGAUGAUUUUGUCCAACCAUUACAACAUUCUGAUACUCUCAAGCCAUACAAAUGCCCUUUUGUGAUCUAUGAUUAGUUAUAAACCAGUUUCUAAACAUGUUCUGGAUUGCACAGCUGUCAGUCAGGAUCCUGUUGCAGAACUGGUUCCACUGAGACUUACACUCUAGGACCUCCCCAGUUCCACGUGUUUCUCGUUGCUUUCUUAGGUUGGACAUGUCUACUUGGGUAUGGAGAAGCCUACGUGGUAAGUAAGCAAAGCCAUAUUUAGCCCAAUUCCACAACAGUGGCCAGGAAACAGAAAAGAGCAGGUGAUUUUCCUCUAGAUGCAACAGCCUUGAGGGGAAAUUUUUAGAGAGGUUAAAGAAAUAAAAUUUAGAAUUCCAAUUCACCAUAGUUAAAGUAAACCAAAACACUCACUAUAAUUUCUUUUUCCAUUUCCAUACUGAGUUCCUUCAAUUUUUCUACAUCUGAGAAUCUGUGAAGUAGCCCAAGAAUCCAUAUGGUGUAGUGGGAAGAGCAAGAUAUUUAAAAGCAAACUCUAGUUUCAAAUCCCAACGCUCAGAAGGCUCAGUUUGUCUGUCUUCAUGUCUUUGCUGCCAAAUGUGCUGUAGCCAUCCAUAUCUUCCCCACCAAAUGAUUAGUAACAUAAAAUCCUCUGACGUUGUACACAUGGAAGGAUCAUAUCAAAGUUUUGAGAGUUCAUCCCAACCAUCCAGAGAGAAAUGGAAAUACUCAAAGUUUGUCCUGCCUCCAAGGUGUGCAGGGGUAAAACAGAGAGCAGAAUUUGAGGGAAGGACACAGUGACUGGCCCAGCUUGAGACCCGUGCCUUGAGAUGGAGCCCACCCCUCACACUAUUAAUAAUAUUCUGCUAUGCUUUCAGACAGGAGCCUAGCAUAAAUGUCAUCAUAGAGGCUUCAUCCAACAAUGGAUGGAAACUGAUGGAGAGACCCACAGCCAAAGAGGCUGAGCUCCAAGACUGUGGAAGAGAGGAAGAAUUGAAGGAACCCACCAGAUCGGCAACCAGAAAACCUACAGAAUCGACUAACCUGGACACAUAGGGGCUCACAAAGACUGAACUGUCAUCUAGAGAGCAUGCAUGGGGCAGAUCUAGGCCCAUAUGUACAUAUGUGCAGUUGUGAAUCUGGGUUGUCAUGUAGGACUCCUAAAGCAGAAACACAGGUUGUCUCUGACUCCACUGCCUGCCUUUGGAUCCCAUUUUCCUAACUGAGCUGCCUUGUGUAGCCUGAACAGGAGAAGAGGCACCUAGUCCUAUUGCAACUUAUUAUGCCAAGGCUGGUUGAUAUCCAUGGGAGGUGCCCUGUCUGAGGAGAAGGGGAAGAGGAUUAGAUGGAGGGGGGAGGGGAAAUGAAAGGGAGGGAGUUGGAGGAGAGGAGAGAGUGAAAACUGCAAGUAGGAUGUAAAGUAAAUAACUUAAUUAAUGGAGAAAAAAGAAAAAAGGGCUCCAGUCAAAGUUCUACAUUUCUACUUUAAUUAAUAAAAAAUUCUAAUUUAGCCACAAAGCAAGAAGAGGAAAAGAGAACUUUAAAAAUGGUAAUAGAAAUACUCAGCACAGUAAAACAGUAGAUCAAAACCAAAGAAACCAUCAUUGACAUUUUAGUAAGAUCAAUAGACUUGGGAAAAGCCUAUUGUCAAGUUGUCAAGCCUAUUAGGGAAAAAAAUAGAAACGCAGAUGGUGGCUGGUGUUAGAAAUUGAAUGAGGACAUCAGUAUGGGUACUGUAUACAUUAGGGAACAAUGUGAGAACAUUCUAAAUAACUUCAACUAAUGUUGAUAAGUUCAAUGAAUCAUACAAAUUCUUUCAAACACGUAACAUGAGCACUUAUUCAAAAAACAGACUCACAUAACUGUGUUUCUAUAUAAGGUUCCAAUUUAUACACCACUUGUAAAGCCUUCCAAAUAUUCAAGGCAUGGAUACCAAUCCUAUAUAAAUUCUUCCAGAACAUGGAAGAAGCAAGAAACAAUUUCAACCCAAGGUUUCAGCCCAGUUUAUCAGACUGGCAUUGUUCAGACACUCACAUUAAACAAUGAAAUGAAAUGAAAGAAAAUGUCACAUGGUAGGUCAGCCUAUGACACUGAUACGUGCCUUCAGUCUCAGGGACUCAGGAAACAUGAGGAUCUCCUCAGUCCAAAUGUUCAAGGCCAGUCUGAUAACCAGAAGAAAGCCUCGAAGAGAGGAGGCAGAAGAGAGGGAGGGAAGGAUAAAACCUUCAAGCAAUAAUAGCCAUAAUAAAGGAGUAAAAAUAACUAAACAAAUGGUAGUAGAUAUCAAUGACUUCACGUAUUUUACCUCUGAAAUAUAUUUGCUUAUACAAUAUAUUAGUUUAUUUCUGGCAGCAUCUUCUAGUUCUUGCUUUCUAUUCAUUCUGCUCUUACUGACUCCUUUGGAAGUUUUAUUUUUCUUGGCUAUUUUAUGUAUUUACAUUUCAAAUCUCUCUUUUUGUGUUUUUGUGAAUGUGCAUUAUUGCUAAGUGUGUGCAUGUGUCUGUGCAUGGUUUGUAUGUGAGGUGCUCACAUCAAGGUACAUGUGUGUAUGUCAAAGGGCAACUUUGUGGAACCAUAUUUCUCCUUCCACCUUUCUGCCUGUUCCAGGGAUCAGACUCAGUUUGCCAGGCUCAGAAUGUACAACACGCACCCUACCUUCUGAGACGCUCACCGGUCUCAUUAAGUGGAUUAUUCCAGGAGACUUUUCUAACACAUUGCCCACGAUCUCUCUCAUAUUCUCCUUCCUCAAACACACAAUUUUAUUAUGUCAGUCUAUGGGUUUGACCUUAAAGAGGCUUUUGGUAACCUUGUCAGUUUCUUUAGUACAGUUAGGACCCCUUAAACCCCAUUAAAAAUCCCGAACACACACAUACACACACACACACAUGCACACAUACACACACACAUACACACACACACACAUACACACACAUACACACACAUACACAUACACACACAUACAUACACACCACACACACACACAGAGAGAGAGAGAGAGAGAAACCUUAAUUUAUAUUCUUUUCUAUCAUUGUACAUAUUCUGUGCCCAGAAAUAUUCCAUAAUCUUAUUCUAGCUAACACCAUAGACAUAAUUCUACAUGUAUUUGCUUGAAAUCCAAAUAUUAUGCUUCUACCCUAAUCUUUAAUUCCCUCUCCUUCAGCUUCUGUGCUAUGUGGUUCUGCUGAAGUUUACUUUAGAUUUAUUUAAUUUUAUUUGUAUGACUGUUUUGUCACAUUGUAGUUAAGUGGAUUUACUGAGAUAUGGAAUAAAGUCUAAGGUGUCUGCCACUCCUCUAUAUGUGAGCAUUGCUUGGCAAACUUUCAGUCUCUUUCCUUGUUUCAAGUAGCAUCUUCAAGACUGAAUGUACAGCACAUUAAAGUGAAAUGUGUGACCUUCCCACAUCUUUCAUUCUACAGUUUCUUUUUCCAGUGAGUGUCGGACAAAGAAUCCCGGUCUUUCACACUGGUGCUAACACUCUACUACCCAAACACUCCCUUAACCAUAACUCUUUGUCCACCCCUCCCACACAGCCUGGCUGUUGCUAUGUUUCUCCUGGAAGGUAGAAGACCUUCCUAGUUGUAUAGAAUCACAAAACUGAUUUGAACAUUUAAAAUAUUGUUUUAUCUGCUAUAGUUACAACUGGGAACACUGAAAUUUCUAGUUACUCAAGAGAAAUAUUCAUGUUCACAUCUUUGGUAAAGAACACACAAGAGUAAGGCAAAUAUAUGCUCGCCAUAUAUGCAGGAAUAACUUGUUUUAGCAUAAUUUCUUAUGCUGCCCAGAAAUGACAUACUGUUAUUUGAAGUAGAAUUACAAUAGGAAAUGUUUCACUAAACAUUCCAUUUAAUAUUUACGCAUUUUCUCUUUUUAUGUAUGUGUUUAUCAGUGCUUAUAUAUACACAUGCAUGUGCAUAUGUAUAUGUAUGCAUGUAUAAGCACAUGUGUAAGUGUGUACUCAUAGGAAAACUAGAAGUCAAUAACAGGUGUUCUUCUGAAUCAUUCGACACCCUACUUUCUGAGAAAUCAUCUCGUAGUAACAUGGAAUUCACCAAUUCAGCUAGACUUCUCUUUCUUCUUUCCUUUAUUUUCAGGUUUAUAAUUUAAAAUAUGUUUAAAGAGUCAUUAUAAAAAGAUCUAAUUAUUUCAAACACAAUAAGUCACCACCAUUACCUUCUAUGAAUCAGAUAGUUAAAAUAUAUACAAAACUAGCGAUUUUUGAUGCAAAAUGCCAUUUUUUCUUCAUAAAACAACCAAUUAUGAGUUCAUGUCUAUAUUUUCUGACUAUGGUUAAUAUGUAAGAAAAAUAAGAACCAUAAUUUUCAUUAAGUUUAAAUGAGCAACAAGCCUAAGAGAUUCAUAAUUAAAGGACAUAUUUGCACUUUGAAUUAAUUUUUAAACAUUUCCUAAGUGCUAUGCGAUGAGCAUUAUGCGAGAGAAGAUCAGCGUUUCCCUCACCAAAGAUAUCAACAAAACCAUUUUUAAUUUUAAAGAAAAUGCCUUCCUGGGAAAAACGUAAUCAAUAAUUUGUCUUUCAUCCUCAGAACAAUUAAGUCGUUCCUGUUUCCAAAUACUCAGUUGGAGACUUUCCAAGUUUCCUACAUCUUCAUUGUAUUAGGAAGAAUGUUUCUAGCUCACUAAUUUUGCUGCUAAUCAAACACUUAAAAGAGAUUCUUUAUACUUUCAGAUAUGCUUUGAAAAAAAUCCUCCCAUCAUAUGCACAAGGGAAUUAUAAGUUCAUUAGUAUACAGUUUUUCACAUCUUAAAUUCAUGGUUCAUUAUGUUACCUUAGAGAUAAAAAUACAAUUUUACACUUAUAUGAAAGUAAAAAUAAUUGGAAUUAACAUCUGAUUAUGAGUUUUAAUUUUGAAAUUAAUCUACAGACAUCUCUAAUUUAAAUAUUUCAAAUCAAAAGCUACCUUUAAUAUUUUACUGCAAACAAUACUUAAAGCCUAAAUUGUAUCCAUUUAGAGUAAUGCUUUUGAAAAAACAUGAAGCACUUUUGCAUUUUAAAAGAACUUCCAUAUUUCAUACUGUAGAUGUUAGAAAAGACAAACCUAAAAUGUGUGGCCAUUCACAUCUUAGGAACACCAUAGUAGUUAUUUUGGUUUUCUUAUUAAGGGAGAGUUUGUGGCUACAUAUUUCAGUCAGAAAUGGAUCACUUGUAACUCAAUGACAUUUAUGCUGUGAUAAAUCACAGGAGCAACUUAUACCUCCCUUCUGGCUACAGAAAAAAAAACAUGGAAUCUUGCACUUAAAAAUGCAGGAAUCGUAACUAGACAUGGAAGCCCAUAAACCUUUACCCACUUUGGAAAGACUUUUGCCAAUUUCUGCAAACUUGGAUAGACAAAAUAUCUCAGUGAUCUGAGAAUAAAUUCUGCUUCAGCUCCUUCCUGGAGAUACACACUGCACAACCAUAUGGAUAACUUUAGUAGCACUUGUUUUGUCCAUAAGUAUUUAUUAGGGAAGUGGAACUUAUUCUAGAAUUUUAGAAGCACAUGAUUAAGAGGUAAUAAAGAAUUUAUGUUAUCAUGUCCAGACAUGCUUUGAUUUUUCUUGAAUUGCACAUGUAGGCCCACAUUCUUCCUAAGAUAACAGUCUAUUGACAAAUUUUUUACAGUUCAUGUGGAAAUUAUUUGUUACAAGUUCAUAAUUCAUUUGUCUACAAAAAUGAUUAAUAUAUUUAACUCGCCAUGUUAUUUUGGGUAACCCAAUAUAUAGCUCAAAAAUUAUGUCUAAGAUAUAAAUCCUGAAAAUUUCAGUGGAAUAAGACAGCAAAAUGUAGCUCUUAACCUGGGAGCCAAACACACACUACCUCUUUCACAUAUAACUUUUGGAUUUCCUUGCAGAUUAUAUAGGGUUGGGAACAUAGUAGGUGCUUUAAUUCAUUGUUUAUUUUUCAAAACUAAACCAACAUUCAAAAUUGUACUGGUUUAAAAUAACAUCUUAAUUAGACUGCAAUUUUGUGGUUUGGGCUGGACUCAGUCUCAGAUUCUGUUUGUUUUGUUUGUGGAUCAUUUUAUUGGUAAAUUUAGUUAUGUCAGCAGUGGACAGCAGAGAGGUUGAGAGGCCAAGUCAACCCUCUGGUCCAUGUAGUCUCAGAGUUCCUCUUUGGUGUUUCUCACCUGUCAUCUUUCAAGGUGCAGCCAGAUUUCUGGCCUGCAGAUUACAGGCUCCUGUGAGAGCACAUGUGUAAACCCCCAGAGCUGUAGGGCUGGUACCCUGUGGCUCUGACAUACCCUUUUGACACCCACCUCAGUUCUUCAGUCAAGAUCUGAAAGGUGGUUACCAGGAAGCUUGUUCACUCUGGGCCACCAAUGGAGCUCUCUGUCCCAGGGUGAGUUGGCAGGCUGCCGGGGAAACCCAGAUGGGCAGGUGCUAAUCUCUUAAUUGCUGGAGUAGGAAGUGAAGCUGGAAGUUUGGUGGUUUGCAAUAGCUGUUAAUGAACCUUAAUACACACACAUACACACACACAUGCACGCACACACACACACACACACACACACACACACACACACACACACACACACUUGAAGCAUACCAAGCUAAAGAUAGUGCAGUUACUUGUCAUAGUUUGUCCACUCUGUAAAUAUUAGUCUUCAUAGGUUAUAGUUAAUAACUUCGGAGUAAAGUGGGCUUCGCAUUACCCCUACCCAGAGAUUUUUGCCACCAUUUCCCUUGUAUCAGCAAAAGUGUAUCUCUCAGGAUCUCUUGGUUGAGAAGAACAGGCAUUGACUCUGACAGCCUGAAUAGAGUUGGGCACAUAGGGUAAAGGCAGGCAAACAGCAAUAAAAGACUCUCAGAGUAAGGCUGGUUAUAAAGAGUGUGUAACACAGAUGUCAUAGAAUUGAAGAUUUAGGGCAAAGUUAAGGAAGAGAAUUGAGGACCAGCCCUCUCCUUGAAGCAGCCAUUUAACUGAUCGUUUUCCUCCUUCAUUGACUUUCAUCAGUUAUAAAUUUCAUGCUCUCUUUUACUAUUUUAUACUUUCUAAUCUCCAUUUAUACUAAUGUCUGAAUAUAAUUUUGUGUCAGCCAGGGGCAUUUGAAAUGAGACAUUUCUUAACUGUGUGUAAGUUUCCCACACAGUGUAUGAUAUUGAUUGGUCCUCAGACCAUAAACGCUUAGAUCCUAUAAAGUCAUUUUGACAACUUAUAGCUCUCUAAAGUGUGGCUUUUCCCACCGAGGGAAUAACUACACAAAGGAAUAAAACUUUUUCUUGUGUGUGUGUGGCUAAUAUCCAAGUACCAGUGUCUAGGUUCACAUGUACUGUGUCAAGUCAUAAUACAUGCAUUUUCUUAACUUAAUGAAAUUAAAAGGAUCCUCAUUUUAACAAAA